AACACAUCGUAGGCACAACAUUGAAUUAGUCCCAGCUGUAUUGGAUACCUUUUUUUGAGAUCUCUCCCCGUAAUGGAUCUGGAAGAUAUUUCCCUUACCUUUGUCUGGGCUGAAUACUCGAUAGGCAGUAACCUACAAACUCUGACCACAUCACCAGUGUGAAAUUGCUGAUUAACCUUUUGAC